rnacentral:piRNA from 1 species
UUAACUUCAUAAAUCGAAUAA